rnacentral:misc_RNA from 1 species
ACAACUUUAUUUACCUAGAACGACGUCAAGAGAAAUUUUUUACAAUACAAAUUGCAGUUUUACGAACUUCAAAUAAAUUUACAUUGAAAUAUUUCAUAAUUAAACAAUAGGCUAAGCCAAAGCAAAGACCGCACAUUGGAGAAACACGAAUCAAAGGCUUCGGACAACAAAGACAAAAGUCGAAUGCAACUUGCAUCAAUCCGCUGUGUUUGUGUUGUUUUCACACAUUUUCGCUGGGCAGCUGUGACCUAGCUGUAAAUUGCAAUUACGAUAGCAACAACAAGGAAACACAAUUCACGAGAUUGUUUCAUUUCAAGGAACAGCAAACGGGUCAAAAAUUAUUUAACGAAAAUGUCCUCGUCGACGGCGUCCGGGUCGGCCGCCCGCAAACAGCCCACGGCCGUGUCUCGCAUGAAACAGGAUUACAUGCGCCUAAAACGCGACCCGUUGCCGUACAUCACCGCUGAGCCGUUGCCAAAUAACAUUCUGGAAUGGCACUAUUGUGUCAAAGGGCCCGAGGACUCACCAUAUUAUGGCGGAUACUAUCACGGCACGCUGCUCUUUCCAAGAGAGUUUCCUUUUAAGCCACCAUCUAUUUAUAUGCUAACGCCGAAUGGACGCUUCAAAACAAACACCAGACUGUGUUUAAGCAUUUCAGACUUUCAUCCUGACACAUGGAAUCCGACUUGGUGUGUGGGCACUAUACUCACAGGUCUGCUGAGUUUUAUGCUAGAGAGUACACCCACACUGGGAUCCAUAGAGUCUUCGAGCUAUGACAAGCAAAUGUUUGCCCAGAAAUCGCUUGCAUUUAACCUGCGCAAUGCCAACUUCUGUGAGCUGUUUCCGGACAUUGUCAACGAGAUUAAGUUACGUUUACAGGGCACCCAGGCUGCAGCCAACGCUGCCAAGCCGGGCACCAGCUCUUCUUCGCGCGCGAAUGGUUUGGCUAACGGCAGUGCCGUUGCCAUUGAUAAACGUAACAAAAAUGCCAGUAGUGCCAAUGGGCAACUGCCAUUGCCAACGGAUGGUAGCCCCAGUGACGGGCUGGCGGUAGGUACUGCUGCAAGUGCGGAUGUGGGCAGUGGUGGUGCGGCUGCGCUCAAGAAUAGCGCACGGAAUUCCUAUUUAAAUUGGCAGUCGAUCUAUUCGAACCUGGUGAUUAUAAUCUGUUUUGCAAUAUUUGCACUCAUUGUUAAUUACGUGAUCAAGAACCUGAAUCAGGAAUAGACUUAAAUUGUAAGCAAUCAGUACUAAAUAGCCUCUAUAUUUAUAUAUGGAUAUGUAUAUGCUUGUCGUGUUCCAUACAUUUAAACGAGUGAAUCCAACUUACCCUCCCCCUUCUGUCCCGCCCACGAAGAGCUCAAAAGAAAAUUGUGCACAGCUUGAAAAGUAUUUGCCGACACUGCUUACCCAGAUAGCCGUUCCCGACCUCCAUCGAAGUUAGUCUGAAAACAUUGGCAAUAACGCAUAAAAUUUUUAAAUUUCAACUUAUUUGAUAAAUUGUUUUGUUAUGUAUUCAUUAAUAAUAAACUAGCCUAUAGUUGAUAAAUGAAAU